UAGGGCUUCCCCUUCGCUCAGUUGCUAAAGAAUACACCUGCAACGCCGGAGACCCCGGUUCGGUUCCUGGGCUGGGAAGAUCUCCUGGAGAAAGGAUAGGCUACCCACUCUACAGUUCUUGGGUUUCCUUGGGGGCUCAGAUGGUAGAGAAUCUGCCUGUAAUGUGAGAGACCUGGGUUCGAUC